rnacentral:ncRNA from 2 species
AUGUUAUCAAGAAAGGCUGAAGGAAUAGACCUGUUGACGCCUUAGCAACCCUGCAAACUAUUGGAGAAGGUGCUAAAUUCUACUUCUUAUAUUUUUAUAAUUAGAUAGAUAACAA